UAGGAAGCAAGCUGCCACAGAGCAGUUGUC
rnacentral:piRNA from 1 species